UACAGCCAUAUCAUGUUGAAAUAUCAGUUCUCAUCCAAUCACCAAAGUUAAGCAAUAUUGAGCCUGUUCAGUACUUAGAUGGGUGACCUCUUGGGAAUAUCAGGUGCUGUAAG